CCAACUUUGGCCCCAAUUAUGAGCUGCAGCUCUCCUUCCACGAUGUCAAAGACAUCCAACACCUGUAUGGUGAGUUUAGCUAGAUUGAAAAGGAUUCAUUCACUGCUUGGAUUCGGAAAGGUAGCUGAUCCUUUUUUUUUUUCAAACCAGCAAAAUAGAAAAUGAAAAACAUCACAUUCGUUAUGGUUUCAUUGUGAGACUGACCAUAUAAGUAGCUUAGCACAAAAAAUAUUGACAGUUUAGGUGUGCCGAGGAAUAAUGAGUAAACAUGCAGCAAGUGCGUGGGAAACCAGCUCAAACAAACCACAGCAUCCUGUUUCAAAGAUUUCGUCAUUCGUCCAGCAACGACAAUUUUUAUUUGGAAAUCUAAAUCUCUUAAUGCUAUCUCUGAAGAUUUUAUUUGAUUUUACUUGAAAAGAAAAUGUGAACAUUUCAAAGUGCGGGGUCUUGUUUUCUUUGUAAACAAGGCACAUUUCCUUCUUGGCUUGCCCGCAGGUAUCAGUCCCAAUUUCGCUUCAUUAUUCUCACAAAAGCCCCCUCCAAGAACACCUGAUAAAUGUGAUCCAGAUUUGUCAUUUGGUGCUGUAACAGAGUUAUAACAGGAGGUCCUGUUUUUCAAAGACAGGUAGGUAACUGUGCCAGUUUGUCUACAUAAUGAAGCCCGGCAGACAGACCUUAUGUCUCUCUGGGGUAAUGGUAAUGGGAAAAAAACAAUGUAACUUACUGUCCUUUCAGAUUUAUGUGGCGCAAACAUCCUCAGUUUGAUGGAAGAGGAAUCACUCUGAUCAACUGUCUAUGGCCAAAUUGUGUUCCUCCCUUCUUGGAUGCUGUCUAUGUGGAUGUGAAAAGAAUGUAAAUGUGUUUUUCAAAGGCGAUCAGUACUGGAUGCUGAAGCAGUUGAAACUUGAGGAAGAUUUUCCUGGAAACAUCUCAGACUUGGGCUUCCCCUCCAGUAUAAAAUCUUCAGGUGCUGCUCUUCAUUUCAGAAAUGGCCGCUACACUGUGUUCUUCACCGGCCACGAGUGUUGGAAGUAUGAAAGAUGAUACCGUUUCCCACAGCCCUUUCCUCAUUUCCAGACUUAUUGUUAAGCUAAGCUUACGACCUGCUGGCUGAAGUGUUUUACUAAAUGGACAGAUAUAAGCGUAGUAUGGAUCUUCUCAUCUAAGUCUAGGCAGGAAAGCAAACAAGUAUACUUUCCUGUACAUAUUUUAUAUGGUAAAGUAGUGCAUGCAAUGCUUAUCAUCUGUAAUGAAAUGUAGUGUAAAGUGCAUUAGGUUUAUAGUUAAUCAAAGGCAUUUCUUUUUCUAGAUAAACAGACUGACUGGCAAUAGUACAUUCACAAUUAAUCUCCAGAAUUUCAUCAGGCACACAUUCUAAUGAAGUUCAUGUACUUAGUGGUGCGUUAACUAUUAAUAUGAUGCCACAGUUAUCUAAUGCUAUUGAAAAAUGCUCCCAUUGCUAUCCAUUACACCAGAUUACUUCUUUGUUAUGUGUUGAUGUAAUUACAACUUAUGAAUUUCCCGUGUGAGUAAAAGAGAAGGACGUGUUGUCACCUGUGUUUCCUAUUUCUCAUCCAAUGUGGGUUUAAAUUGUUCAACCAUGAUGCAUUUACUGGUGUCAUGAGACACACCUGGCUGGGGAGUACAUUGUAACCGGCAUGCAGGACAACACAUAGACAAAGUUCUACCCUUUCAGUGAGAAAAUACAUUUCACAACAAAAUGAUUGCUCUCCCUGUCAGUGUCCAAUAUUAGGUAACACUAACCACAAUGUAUCUUUCCAUUAACAGUUGCAUUUAGAUAAAGCGGUUAUGGAUUUUUACAGACAAAUCACGAAGCUCCUCCACCAGGUGAAAAAGCAUUUAAAAUGCCUAUGCAGUACAGCAACCAUAUAUUUGACAGAAUUAACCGAUUUGAUUUUUUCAUCAAUUCAAUGGAAGUUACAGCAAAAAAGAUCUAGUUUCCCAUAAUUGACUCACAUUAAUACAUGCAAUGAAAAGGCUGCUUGACUUUUGUCAAGCAGCCUUGAAUGAAGUGAGAUGACAUAUCAUUGGCAACGGGGAUUUUAUGUUGACGUGACACAUCAUGUCUGUGCUUGUUUACAAUGCACUGUGAUGUCAUUACCUUGGACGAGGCAACAAUAGCGUCAGCAUGAGAGCUGGAGAAGAGAGUCUAUGACUCAAGGGUGCAGCUAUUGAAGACAGUAAACUAAGGAGUAUCAUUCAAAAAAGCACCCAAACAAAACAGUCAAAUUAAAAACAAGAUCACCAUGAGGUUCAUUUAAUAGUGCUUCUGGAGCUUUUGGUUGUAUCAUGUUUCUAAACAGAUGGAAUUUGGAUAUUUUUUUUGUUACAAGGUAUUUUGUCCCCGUAUUCUGAUUCACAUACAGAUGCAAAUACAGAUUUUAAAAUAUAUAUUUUUAAAUAUAUACAUGUGGUUAGACAGGGACUUAUUUUGAUUCCUCAUGUAAAACAUGUGAAUUUGUUUUAAUCAAUAUGCAGUGUAAAGUGCACAACCACUGUCUGUGUCAUCUGAAUUAAAGAGUUUGUUUUGAGCAAAGUCUGACUUCCUCUAUUGUCCAUUGAUGGAAUAUUUUCUGAGUCACUGACUCUAGAUCCUAGUUGCUCAACAUGGCCAGUCCUCAGACUAUAUAACAGCAGCCUGGCACAGUAGA
ensembl:lncRNA